CUACUUUUAUUGAUUUUGAGGGAGGUUCUCUGUGCCUCCUGGAUUUUGAUGCUUGUUCCCUUUGCCAUAUUAGGGAAAUUCUCUACUAUAAUUUGCUCCAAUAUACCUUCUGUCCCUCUCUCUCUCUCUUCUUCUGGGAUCCCAAUUAUUCUAAUACUGUUUCGUCUUAUGGUAUCACUUAUUUCUCAAAUUCUCCCCUCAUGGCCCAGUAGUUGUUUAUCUCUCUUUUGCUCAGCUUCUGUAUUCUCUGUUACUUGGUCUUCUAUAUCACUGAUUCUCUCUUCUGCAUCAUUUAUCAUAGCAGUAAGAGCCUCUUUUUUUAUUGUAUCUCAUUAAUAGCUUUUUUUAUUUCAACUUGGUUAGAUUUUAGUUCUUUUAUUUCUCCAGAAAGGCAUUUUAUUUCUCCAGAGAAAGAUUCUCCAAUACCCUCCAUGCUUUUUUCAACCCCAUCUGGCAUCUUGAUAAUCAUCAUGCUGAACUCUAAUUCUGACAUAUUACUGAUGUCUAUAUUGAUUAAGUCCCUAGCCAUCAGUACUGCCUCUUCCUUUUUUUUUUUUUUUGUGGUGAGUUUUUCUGCCUUGUCAUUUUGUCCAGAUAAAAAUUGAUGAAUGAGAGAAAAAGAACAAAUACUAAAAGGGUGGCAAAGACCCCAGAAAAAUAUAUGCUAAUCAAAUCAAAAGAGGUGCAAAACUGGGGAAAGAAGAAAAAGGGGGAAAUUUUAGAAAUAUAUAUAUUAGAAUGGUGAAUAGAACAGAGCCACCCACUUGAUUUUGGGUGUAUUCUGGUCUCUUAGAUGAAACUACCUCCCAAAAUUUCAAAGAAAGAAAAACUUUUAUACACACACACACACACACACACAAAUAAGGGUAAACACGAUGAAGGAUGGAAUAUAACUGUAAAGAUGAAAAUUUUAAAAUAUUCUAAGAAAGGAACUGAAAAGAAGUUGGUUGGAAAAAGAAAAAAGAGGAGAGAAUGUGAUCAGGCUGGAGACUAGAACAAAGCCAUGUGCUAGAUUAAGGGUAUAUUUUGAUCUAUGAGAAGAAAUUGUAUCCCAGAAUUUUAAAGAAAAAAAAACCUGAAUGUAUACAAAAAAAUAAGGUUAAAUACAAUGAAGGGAUAGAAUAUGAAUUUAACAGUGAAAAUUUUAAAAGAUUUUUCUUUUAAAAAAGGUAUUUGAUAAGAUAAAAUAGUUUUAAAAUGUUAAAAUAAGAAAGAGGAAAAGUUAGGGGCUCCUGGGUGACUCUGUGGGUUGAGCCUCUGCCUUCGGCUCAGGUCAUGAUCUCAGAGUGCUGGGAUCGAGCCCCGCAUUGGGCUCUCUGUUCAGCGGGGAGCCUGCUUCCCCCUUUCUCUCUGCCUGCCUCUCUGCCUACUUGUGAUCUCUCUCUGUGUCAAUAAAUAAAUAAAAUCUUAAAAGAAAAAAAAAAAGAGGAAAAGUUAAAUAGAAUAAGAAAAAAAUAAAAUUUAAAAAAGUUAACUUUGAAAGGCUGAAGGAUCAUGGGAAAGAAGCCAUGAAUUCAAUGUGUUGCUUUCCCCCUAGCUUUGGAGUUCCGCAGUUCUCAUUGAUCGGUGAACUUGGUCUUGGCAGGAUGUUCUUGAUGAUCUUCUGAGGGAGGGGCCUGUUGCAUGAUUCUCAAAUGUCUUUGCCUGAGGCAUAAUUGCACUGCCCUUGUCAGGAGCCAGGCUAAGUAAUCUGCUUGGGUUCCCUCUCUGUAGCUUUUGUUCCCUGAAUGCUUUCCAUACAGCUUUGGGGGAUGGGGAUGAGGAUGGUGGCUUUCAAAUCUCUGGCCUGUAGGAGGGAGACAAGAGCUCGGGACCCCACUCCUCAUUGCCCUCAGAGAAAAGCAGUCAGUCCCUCCCAUCUCCAGGUCUCGGGCUGCACUUGGAGCUCACCCAUCCUGUGACCAAGCGUUUGUAUCUCUGGCAUGUGGCCACCCCAUUUAGAGUCUCCAAAUCCAGCAGAUUCCUGCCAUGCACUCCCACACUGCUCCUCCCGGAGGAGGAAGGAGGGGAUCUCUCCGGAUCUGCCACUUGUGGGGUCCCUGCUCAAAGAGCAGUGGCCCAACUGUGCCUUGGGUCAUGGUUUAACACGUAACCCUGAGCUGAGAGCCCCCUCCUCGUCUCUGUCUCUGCAGCCAGCCUCCCCACUCCAAUACCUGGAAGCUCUGCCACACUCAGACACUCCUGGUCUCUCUAUGACCGCAUGGGUCCUGAGACUACACUGUCCCUGUGAGGGCUCCACCCCCACUUAGCUCUGGAGUGACUUCCCUCAGUGGAGCAGACUUCUAAAAGUUCCAAUUUUGUGCUUCGCUGCUCGCUCUCAGCCCAGUAACCGGCCCCUCCCUCUGCGGUCUGUCUUCCCGUUGCUUCAGAUUCAUUUCUCCACAUGUCCUACCUUCUGGAAAGUGGUCAAUUCUCUGUUCUAGAAUUGCUGCUCUUCUCUUCUAUCUCCUGUUGAGUUUGUAGGUGUUCAGAAUGGUUUGAUAACUGUCUAGCUGAACUCCUGGGACCUAAUGAUAUUUCAGUCCUACUCUUCCACCCUCUUGCUUCCUCUCCCUCAAACAUCAGACUCUUGAUCUUAGCUUAGGUCUUGAUCCAAAGGUUGUAAGUUCAAACCCCACAUUGUGCUCAUGAAACAAACAAACAAACAAUAAAAUAACACAAAUAUGGCAUAUUCCAGAGGGCACAGGAGCCAACUAAAAGAGUCCCCAGUGGCCAAGAUUAGAACACUUUAAACAAUAAAAAUAAAGUAGAGCAUUAAAUUUGCCAUCAGGAUUAGAAAAGUUUAUACUGGGGCACCUGGGCACUCAGGUGGGCUAAGCCUCUGCCUUCAACUCAGGUCAUGAUCCCAGGGUCCUGUAAUUGAGCCCCAGGUUGAGUUCCCUGCUCAGCAGGGAGUCUGUCUAUCUCUCCUUCUCCCUCUGACCCUCCCCUGGCUCAUGCUCUCUCAAAUAAAUAAAUAAAUCUUUAAAAAAAAAUAAACUACACCACAGAAUGUCAAAGAGACUAGAGAUUGUCACAUGUAGAAAUAGUGUUAUCCAUCAGUGCAAAAUCCUAAGAGUACCCAAGCAGGCAAAUAAACCUUAUGUCAACUCUAAAGGAGUAUAAUCCAAAGUGUAAAGUACAUAUUCAUGAGACCAUACUGAUAUUAAUCAGUGAUCAUAUAAAUAAAUUAAAAGAGGAGAACAGACAAAUCCCCUUUGUAGAACUCUACAUGAUUAAUAUAGAUACUGUGCUCUCAGUGGGAUAGACCAUGACUUCCUACUCUGUAGGUGUGGGCUUCACAUAAUGAUUUCCUUCCAACAUUCAAAGUAUGGAAAGGGGGAAAAAGAGUCAUUUUGCAGUGGGGAAAUCUGACAAACACGACCUCAACCAGGUGAUCCAGGCCAACAUGAACAGGGACAUGUUGAUAGUAUGUACCCUUCAGUGGCUGUGAUGAGAAUGACACUUUAUUUCUAUAUUCUUUCUCCUAAAAAACCCUAGUCUAAGCAUGAGGAAAACAUCAAAUGCUAAUUAAGGGGUAUUCUACAAAAUACCUGAUUAGUACCUCAAAACUGUCAGUCAUCAAAAAUAAGGAAAGUCUGGGGAGAUGGAUGGCUCAGUUGUUGGGCAUCUACCUGCCUUCGGCUCCGGUCAUGAUCCCAGAGUCCUGGAAUGGAGCCCCGUGUCAGGCUCCCUGCACAGUGGGAAGCCUGGUUCUCCCUCUCCCCACCCCCUGCCUGUAUUUCUUCUCUCACUGAAUCACUCUCUGUUAAAUAAAGAAAAUCUUUUUUAAAAACAAAAAGUAAGGAAAGUCUAAGAAAAGCCAAGUAGAUUCUAAAGAGAUGCUUAUUUCUUUUACAUAAAUCUAUGUAUAUUUUUAAAAAUUAAACUGUGAUUAUAUGCUCAACCCAGAAAUGCCACUUUUUAAAACCAAAUAAAAAUAUUUACAAAGCAUACACAAUAUAUGUAAAAACUACUAAGUGUAAUUGUUUUUAGAAAGCAAAACAUGGGUAACAAUUUACCUGUCCCUAUAUUGGAAGGCGAUUGUAUGGUAUUGCGCCUGGCAGAAUUCUAAGGUGAAGCUGCAGUGACCCUGCCCUUGAGUGUGGAUGAGACUUGGAGUGGGAUGGAUUCUGUUUCCCUGAUUAGGUUGUCAGAUGGCACAGCUGACCUUCCAAAAGAGAGGUUAUCCUGAGUGGCCCUGACCUAAGCAGGUGACUCCUCAAAAAGAUUCAACUCUUCCUAGAAGAAGUGUGAAGCUUGAGGUGUAUUUGUUACUGGCUUUGAAGAUGGAGGGAAUCACCUGGUAAGGAAUGAAGGAAACCUCUAGGGGCUGAGCGGCCCCAGUCAACCACCAGCAAGGAAGCCAACUUCAGUCCUGAAGCUGCAAGGAAGAGGAUUCUGCCAACAAUCUGAAAGAGGUUGGAAGAGGACCCCAAGUCUCAGAUGGGGGGGCGGCCCUGGGAGACUGUGAGCAGAGGAGCACAGCCACACUGUGCCAGACUCCUGAACACAAAAACCGUGAGUUUUUUAAAAAAUAGGUGUUUACUGAAGUAAGCAAGGAUUUGUGGCUGUUUGGAGCUGGAGUGGCAGAUGGAACCAACUUGGAGUCUGGGGCAGAAGUAUGAGUUACAACCCAGAGGCUGCUGCAUGAUGCCUAGACAUCACACAGGCCACCUCCACACUAGGAGAGCUGAGCAGGUCUCAGAGUAGACAUGCUGUUGCCUUCAAGCAUGGUCCAGACAAGGAUUCCUGCCGCCUCCCACUUUGGACUACACUGGAAAGCUGGACAGCCAUCAGAAUUUGCCAUCAGUGGACUAAAUGAACAAGCUGGUUACCUCAGUGGAAAUCCCACAAGGAGAUAAAUCCCUUCCUACAACAUCAAUAUUUAAACGGAAUGCUUCCUGGCAUGGAAGUCUCUGGGUGAGCCCCAGUGGCUAGGCCCAAAUUCAAGGAAAGCCCAAAUCUGCAAACUGGAAAAAUGGAAUGGAGAAUGUAAAUACUAUAAAGAGAUGACAUCUGAAACAAUUUCAAAAUAAGAGGCAAUGUCUUCUUCAAGUCUUAACUUGAGUCCUUGAGAGCUGAGCUAUUCAAUGAAUUAUAUAUAAAAACAGUCCCAAGGAAUACAAACUCCUCCAUGUACUGCUUAGAGCAGCCCAGUAUUCACAGAUGCAUUCAUGCAGCUCAGCAUACCUCUGAAGGAGGACCGUCAUUCCAUUUUACUAAUUAGGAGCAGGCUGAGGUAAAUUAGGGAAUUUACUCAAGGUGCCUUAGCAAGAGUUAUCAGUGAGAAGACCUGAACUCCCAAACCUGUGCUUGACACCAUGCCACCAUUCCCUUUUAGAACUUGCCUCCCCUGGCUCUUAGGUCUUUGAUCUUUUUAAGAUCUUCUAUCUAGCCAAGCCCUAGCCUUCUCCUUUUAAUGCUCCCUCUCAAAACAGAGCUCUUUCAUGUGUCAAAGUUUCAACCACAAAGACGAUCACAAAUUACUUGACUUUAACUCCUCUCUCUCAAUCCAAAGGCCAAAUGCAGUAACACAUUAUCUUCCCACAGAAUGUCAGAAGGCUCUUAAAAUAGCAAGACUAGCCACUUUUCUAUUAAAGUUUUCUUAUCACCUGAACCAUCAGCAAGUAUUCUGAAUGCGGUUAGCGGCAACAGAGCAGCAGACCACAUGCAGUGGACAGCAGCACCAGACCAGGCUGGGCCUGGCUAGGCUUACUUACCUGUAGACGACGGCAGGGAUGCGCUUCCAGGACCUGAAGCUUGCUACACUCUCUAGUUCUUUGUCGGUGAUCCAGGCAGGCACUAUGAGCUCCUGUGGAUAGCUACCACAUAGCCUAAUGGGGAAGAGUCUAUCUCCAAUGUGACAUUAAGUGGUGACGAGACCAAUGGAAACUGCCUGCCUACAUGAGAACACAAUACUGUCUAGGAAACGCACGCACCUGGAACAACAGAGAUCUGGAGGGGGGAUGGAAAGGAAGGUUCCAGAAUCCUAUGAAAUACCACUUUUCCACUCCAGUAACAGCAAUGGGAAUAGAAGGCUCAAGAAGUACUCUGAAGACCAUGCAGUUAGAUAUAAUAAAAUUCCACUGAAAAAAUAGGUCUAUGUCUAAGUUCAAAUGCUCUGCCGCAUGAGAACUGGGGUUUCUGCAAAGGCACUGGCUGUGAAGCACAGUCCAUAGGCACCCAUACAACUCACUUGUAC